ACAUCAACCUCUUGAAACAGUUAUUCUUUUGGGACCCGUAGCAUAUGUGUAGACAUGUGCACACAAAGAUAGAAGAUAUGCAAGUUCAUCAUGGAAGAAAGAAGGCAGACCAGCUCCAUGAACCAAGGUGCAGCUCCCAGCUCACUAUACUUGAGGCCACUGCAGUGCCACUUCACAUGGUGCAGGAGUAAACAUUGACCUUGCAGGUCUGAAAACAUCUGCCUUUAGUUAUUUCUCAUUUUGGAGAAAGAAGAUUUUGAAACUGAAGAUUUAAGUAAUUUGCCAGAGUCAGAAUGCUGUAAGCAUCAGAACUCGAUUUUCGAACUUAAGUUUAUCUGACUCAAAAGCUUUUGCCUUUCACCACCACCCUAUUGCUUCUAAAAUGUCAAACAUCGGCUGAACCACAGGACAGGUAUCCUAUAAAUCUUUGAGAGAACAGCCUACCCCUUCAUCCUGUGGGAUGCUUCCUGCCUGGCGCAUCAUGAGCCUUCCAUAAUGGAUCAAAGUUCUAAGAGCUUGGAUGCUUAUGUUGCUUAUUCCCGAGGAGGAGGAUGUGGAUGCACCCCCAUGUGUACGUAAGGACACACGAGCUAAAGGCUUUACCUGACCCAGUAAAAGUGUCAAGCGCUCCAUCUCCAGUCGUGGCUGUGGUUUCACUGCUGUUCAAGGGCUCUGUUUUGACUGCAAGAAGAGACACUACGUAGAAGAAUAAGUACAUGACAGCAAACCAAAAUCAUUACAUGCAAUAAAAUGGAAGCAAAAUCCUUUUAUAGAAGACAAGCACCGUAUUUCUCAACCAAAUGCAAGCUUACACACCAAAUGUUUUGAUUUCAAAAGAAACAAUAUUUUAAUGUCCUAGGUUGAAGAGUUUUGUGGGAUUAUUAUUCUGUAUCUUCAAAGUAAGUGAGUCAGAGCUCGUUUUGCUAAAAGUGGCAUAAAAUUACUUUCUAUACCACUUUGUCGAGAACCGUUAAGAAAUCCUUGUACUGUCAGGUCCCCCUCCCCACUAGUUAGCUACUUGCAAUUUGGAUGUUUCUGAUAGAGUCAAAUGGUAAAAAUAAAUAAACAUACAUGA
rnacentral:lncRNA from 1 species